CUGCUAUUGUGAUUAUUGUAUAGUCAUGUGCCACAUAUCAACGGGGCUACUUUCUGAGAAAUGUGCCAUUAGGUGAUUUCAUCAUGCAAACAUCAUAGAGUGCACUUACACAAACCUAGAUGGUACAGCCUACUACACACCUAGGCUCUAUGGUACUAAUCUUAUGGGACCACUGUGGUAUAUGCGGUCCAUUGUUGACCCACACAUCAUUAUGAGGCACAUGGCUGUAAUAGUCAGUGGAAUUUCUCCUUGGAAUUCUUUUGGCUAGUGAUACAGCAACCAGGUAUUCUAGAAAUUGCAGGCUGUGCUGGCUGAGAGUGAUGAAGUCCCUUCCAAAUCCUUAUCUAGACUCUUCUAAGACUCAGGUUUCUAAGACAAAGAAAAACACGAAAGCCACUCUUUGCUUAGGAAUGACUCAGCUUCCCUUUAGGAAAGCACAACUCUGCUUCCCAGGAAUCAACAGUGAUUAUUGAUAGAAGGAAUGACCCUGUUGACCCUGGGUGAUCCUCAGAUUGCUGGGGAAGGAAGGAGCUUGUUGAUUUUCAGUUUUGUCACAAACCUUCUGCACGUGCCCAUAUUGAAAGACGAAGACGGUACAGUUUUUUGCUUUGAGAGAAAGAAGGAGAGUGAGAACGUACCAACAAAUGAAUGGAUUUAUUUUGGAAACCCAGUUUAUGACAACGUCUUGGACAACAUCUGCUUCAGUGAGGAACUUAUAUUACCUGCUGAUGAGACUAAAGAUGAUCAGAUAAGGAAGAAACAGGAAGUGGUGAUGGUGGAUGGGCCAGGAGUCUAGAAAGUCAACAUAUAAAGCAGCCUCUGAAAUGAAUGGCUAAG
rnacentral:lncRNA from 1 species